GCGGGGAUGGUGUAACAGGCAAACAUCUCGGUCUCCAAAACCGAAGAUUCUGAGUUCGACUCUCAGUCCCCGUG
rnacentral:tRNA from 3 species